rnacentral:rRNA from 1 species
UGAGGAAUAUUGGUCAAUGGGCGCAAGCCUGAACCAGCCAUGCCGCGUGAAGGAUGAAGGUUCUAUGGAUUGUAAACUUCUUUUAUUUGGGAAUAAACCUCUUUACGUGUAGAGAGCUGAAGGUACCAAAUGAAUAAGCACCGGCUAACUCCGUGCCAGCAGCCGCGGUAAUACGGAGGGUGCAAGCGUUAUCCGGAAUCAUUGGGUUCAAAGGGUCCGCAGGCGGAUUUAUAAGUCAGUGGUGAAAGCCUACAGCUUAACUGUAGAACUGCCAUUGAUACUGUAAGUCUUGAAUUUGGUCGAAGUGGGCGGAAUAUGACAUGUAGCGGUGAAAUGCAUAGAUAUGUCAUAGAACACCGAUAGCGAAGGCAGCUCACUAGGCCAACAUUGACGCUCAUGGACGAAAGCGUGGGGAGCAAACAG